rnacentral:rRNA from 1 species
UACGGGGGGUGCAAGCGUUAAUCGGAAUCACUGGGCGUAAAGGGUGCGUAGGCGGUGCAUUAGGUCUGUCGUGAAAUCCCCGGGCUCAACCUGGGAAUGGCGGUGGAAACCGGUGUACUAGAGUAUGGGAGAGGGUGGUGGAAUUCCAGGUGUAGCGGUGAAAUGCGUAGAGAUCUGGAGGAACAUCAGUGGCGAAGGCGGCCACCGGGCCCAAUAAUGACUUUGAGGCACGAAAGCGUGGGGAGCAAACAGG